AACGAACGCUGGCGGCAUGCCUAACACAUGCAAGUCGAACGGGAUCCUGGUUUCGGCCAGGUGAGAGUGGCGGACGGGUGAGUAACGCGUGGGAACCUGCCCAGUGGUGGGGGAUAACUGCGGGAAACUGCAGCUAAUACCGCAUGAGCCCGCAAGGGGAAAGAUUGAUCGCCAUUGGAGGGGCCCGCGUUCGAUUAGGUAGUUGGUGAGGUAACGGCUCACCAAGCCUACGANCGAUAGCUGGUCUGAGAGGAUGAUCAGCCACACUGGGACUGAGAUACGGCCCAGACUCCUACGGGAGGCAGCAGUGGGGAAUAUUGGACAAUGGGGGCAACCCUGAUCCAGCAAUGCCGCGUGAGUGAU
rnacentral:rRNA from 1 species